GGCGCGGUGGAUGAGUGGUUAGCACGUUUUCCUCACACCCCCAGGGUCGGGGGUUAGAAUCCCACCUCCGCCC